AUAUUAAAUGAAUUAAAAAGGGAAAAAUAACACAAAAAUGGUCAUCUUCUCAAUUAGUUUCUGCCGAUUUUUUCUCUCCUCCAUAGCUGGGGUUUCUUCAACUUUCAAGCCUCAUAAUCAAGAAGAACGAAAUUCGGGAGUAGAUCGGGGAAAAGAAAAAGUAAAGGACUAAAUUGUAAAGUUUAGUCACAUUUUGUAUCAAGUACUUAUCUAGCCACUCGGGGAUCGAAGGAAACGUCGGAGGCCGAUCACACUAUCAAAGAAAUAACUCGGUAUAAUUAGACGUUUUGUUUUGGGUAUGGCAUGUAUAGAAACUUAGCUACUUUUGGUAUAAUAUGAAAAAUGAAUGAUGUGUAAAUACUUGCUAGUGAUUAGCUAAUAAAAUGGCCGAUGAUAUACAUGUUUAUUAA